rfam:Eimeria mitis, Houghton, WGS project CBTT01000000 data, contig: Emh_scaff6734_1
GGAAAUAUAGUUUUAAAUUGGAUAAAAUAACACCCUGUCGCGGUGAAGAAUGCGGGUUCGAAUCCCGUUAUUUCCG